UACGUAGGGUGCAAGCGUUAAUCGGAAUUACUGGGCGUAAAGCGUGCGCAGGCGGUUAUGCAAGACAGAGGUGAAAUCCCCGGGCUCAACCUGGGAACUGCCUUUGUGACUGCAUGACUAGAGUACGGUAGAGGGGGAUGGAAUUCCGCGUGUAGCAGUGAAAUGCGUAGAUAUGCGGAGGAACACCGAUGGCGAAGGCAAUCCCCUGGACCUGUACUGACGCUCAUGCACGGAAGCGUGGGGAGCAAACAGG
rnacentral:rRNA from 1 species